CGGUCCGCUGACGAGUGGCGAACGGGUGAGUAACACGUGGAAACCUGCCCUUGGGUACGGGAUAACAGUUAGAAAUGACUGCUAAUACCGUAUACGUCCUACGGGAGAAAGUUUUAAUGCCCUUGGAGGGGUCCGCGUUGGAUUAGCUAGUUGGUGAGGUAAUGGCUCACCAAGGCUCCGAUCCAUAGCUGGUCUUAGAGGACGAUCAGCCACACUGGGACUGAGACACGGCCCAGACUCC
rnacentral:rRNA from 1 species